rnacentral:rRNA from 1 species
AACUAGGAUUAGAUACCCUAUUAUUUUAAGCUAUAUAUUGGUAGUAAUUAAUAAUUUAUGAAAUCAUAAGAUUUUGGCGGUAUUUUAAGCUUAUUAGAGGAAUUUGCUCUGUAAUGGAUACAACGCCUUAAUCUUACUUAAUUUGGUUUUAAAGUCAGUUUGUAUACCACUAUAUUUAAUUAUAUUGAAUAAUUAUAUUUAAGAUUUUUUUUUUAUAAAAAAUAUAUUAAGUCAAGGUGCAAUUUAUAAUUAUGAAUGAAGUGAAUUACAUUAAUUUUAAUUUUACUUAAAUAUUGAAAAAAAAUUAUAGGAUUUAAUAGUAAAAUG